AAGCCAUAAAGGUUAUAGAAUAAAAGAGUUAUACUUCAAGCUUUGGUUGAGGUCAAAUGUAUUACGUGUAUAAUGCAUCUCAAAGAAAAAUGGAAACAUAUGUAAAAAAUUUGUCUGAAACAAAAAUGAUGAAAAUAAAAUAGAUUUAGGAAAUUGAAUAAGGCAGAUCCAUUAUAAGAGGCGCCCAAAAGAAACCCAAAGAGCUUUAAGAAAUUUAGGUACCUUUCUAUCAAUAGCUCAAUACCCAUGAUUAGCAGAUAAAAAGGAAAAUCAACAACCCACAAUGACUCAUCAUAGAAACAAGAUAUUGAAAUUUCCAUAGAGACACAAUUCCAUAUUAGAAACCAAAUCCCAUGCUUUGAUAAAAGGCCUUUUCAAAUGCCUCACUGUUUUUUGCACAUAGAAGGACAAACAACCCAAAGAACAAUAUUACAUACAAUUAAGCAGGUAAAUUUUCAUGUCAUG
rnacentral:misc_RNA from 1 species